rnacentral:tRNA from 1 species
GGAGGGGUGCCGGAGUGGCCGAACGGAGCCGUCUUGAAAACGGCCGGCGCGCGAGCGCCCGUGGGUUCGAAUCCCACCCCCUCCGCCA